AACACUAUCGUCAGUAAUAUCGAUAAUGAAGUAUUAAAAAAAAAGUGAUAUUUGAUUUUGUCCAUAUUGCCCAGCCCUACUCUGCUGAUGUUACUGAUACAGAUUUAUAUGUACAGUCACAUUUCUGCCAAUUCAGACUUUUAAGAACAUUCUC